rnacentral:rRNA from 1 species
UACGAGGGGGGCAAGCGUUGUUCGGAAUUAUUGGGCGUAAAGGGUGCGUAGGCGGUCUGAUAAGUCAUCUGUGAAAUCUAUGGGGCUCAACCCAUAGUCUGCAGGCGAAAACUGUCGGGCUUGAGUAUGGGGAGAGGUGAGUGGAAUUUCCGGUGUAGCGGUGAAAAUGCGUAGAUAUCGGAAGGAACACCUGUGGCGAAAAGCGGCUCACUGGACCAUUACUGACGCUGAUGCACGAAAAGCUAGGGGGAGCAAAACAGGGAUUAGAAAACCC